AGUGAACGCUGGCGGUAGGCCUAACACAUGCAAGUCGAACGGCAGCACAGUAAGAGCUUGCUCUUACGGGUGGCGAGUGGCGGACGGGUGAGGAAUACAUCGGAAUCUACUUUUUCGUGGGGGAUAACGUAGGGAAACUUACGCUAAUACCGCAUACGACCUACGGGUGAAAGCAGGGGAUCUUCGGACCUUGCGCGAUUGAAUGAGCCGAUGUCGGAUUAGCUAGUUGGCGGGGUAAAGGCCCACCAAGGCGACGAUCCGUAGCUGGUCUGAGAGGAUGAUCAGCCACACUGGAACUGAGACACGGGCCAGACUCCUACGGGAGGCAGCAGUGGGGAAUAUUGGACAAUGGGCGCAAGCCUGAUCCAGCCAUACCGCGUGGGUGGAGAAGGCCUUCGGGUUGUAAAGCCCUUUUGUUGGGAAAGAAAAGCAGCAGGUUAAUACCCCGCUGUUCUGACGGUACCCAAAGAAUAAGCACCGGCUAACUUCGU
rnacentral:rRNA from 1 species